CUCACAUAGCGUGAGGACGUCCAGCAACGUUAUAGCACACUUUUCAUGUACUAUAAACAUGGAAGUGCCCUCUAGUGGCUGUCUAGUGGACAGCCACUAGAGGAGGAGUUAACCCUGCAAGGUAAAUAUUGCAGUUUAUGAAAACUGCAAUAAUUACACUUGCAGGGUUAAGGGUAGUGGGAGUUGGCACCCAGACCACUCCAAUGGGCAGAAGUGGUC
rnacentral:lncRNA from 1 species